rnacentral:lncRNA from 1 species
AAAGCCCAGUCGUGUUGUCGUGAGGAGAGGCAAAAGGAAGAUCAUCGGAAUGGAUGGAGUAGCCAAUGAGCAAGACUUCGACAAGUACGGCUACCCGAGGAUCGAACAUGACGACGAUGAUGAAGUAGCAGCAUAUACCACAAGAAGAAACAGGACCACCCUACCUAAAGGACGUCCGUUCCAUAGAAGAACUCCAUUUGCGAAAAAGAAGGGCAAGAAGAUUGUGAACAGAUAGCUAGCUAAGAUCGAUUGUAUUUAAAUCGUAGCCUUCAUUUCUCGAUUGUAUUUCAUGGGCACUUUUUGAACUAUCAUGAAUAUUUUUAAAUUUCAUGGACACUCGAUCUCGAUCCCUCUCCAUCUCGAUCGCUAUCCCACCUCGCCAGAUCCGGUCCCCCUCGCCGCCGAGCACCCCCCAGUCCACCGGCCGCCGCCGCCGACCCCCCG